CGGGGCGUAGCGCAGCCUGGUAGCGCACCAGCAUGGGGUGCUGGUGGUCGGAGGUUCAAAUCCUCUCGCCCCGACCA
rnacentral:tRNA from 1 species